AUGCUGGCGUCCAGGGUCUGGUCUAGGUCCGCGCCGCAGUCCUCGCGCGCCUUGGCUUCCGCAGCGGCCUCGGCGGCGAGGUCCGGCAUGCAGCUCUCGCAGGCUCCUCCCGGUCUCGCAGAGCGGCCCUGCGCCGGGAUAGCUGAGGCUGAUGCGCCGCCGCUGUGCUCUUCUUCAGGCGAUUCACGAGGAGAACAUGCCUGCAGAAGACGCACAUAUCAAAGACAUCCAGUGUCUAAUCGAGCCACGCCUGUCGGAGGGAACCGUCAUGUUCUUUAUGCAAGUUAUCUUUCACAGAACCAACAGAACUACAGAUCUUUUUCGGCUUCGUCCGACCAAGAAAGGAUAGAAGCUGCAAACAGGUUCCAGAUAAUACAUGGUCUGCCAAGGUGUGUGAAAAUUGUAGAAGUUGGGCCUCGAGAUGGACUGCAGAACGAAAAAAAUACAGUGCCAACACCUGUAAAGAUUGAGCUCAUAAAGAGAUUGGUAACCUCUGGAUUAUCAGUUGUUGAGGCAACAAGUUUUGUCUCCCCAAAAUGGGUGCCACAGCUAGCUGAUGCGAAGGAUGUUAUGGAAGUGGUUCGGAAUAUUACGGGUGUAAGCUUUCCUGUAUUGACUCCAAACCUCAAGGGAUUUGAAGCAGCAGCUGCAGCAGGUGCCAAAGAAGUUGCAAUAUUUGCGUCAGCUUCUGAAGCAUUUUCAAAGUCAAACAUAAACUGUUCAAUUAAAGAGAGCCUUGUCCGCUAUAAUGAUGUUGCUCUUGCAGCAAAAAAGCGAGAAAUUCCUGUACGAGGGUAUGUUUCUUGUGUGGUUGGAUGCCCAGUAGAAGGAUCAGUACCACCUUCAAAUGUAGCUUAUGUUGCCAAAGAGCUUUAUGACAUGGGCUGCUACGAGGUUUCGCUUGGUGAUACGAUUGGAGUUGGUACCCCAGGCACAGUUGUACCAAUGCUUGAGGCAGUUAUGUCCGUCGUUCCCGUGGAAAAGCUUGCUGUCCAUUUCCACGACACCUACGGGCAGUCUCUUUCAAACAUCCUCGUCUCUCUCCAGAUGGGUAUUAGUGUCGUGGACUCCUCCGUCGCAGGCCUUGGUGGCUGCCCAUAUGCGCAGGGCGCAUCAGGGAAUGUUGCUACUGAAGACGUAGUGUACAUGCUGAAUGGGUUGGGGAUCAAGACAGGCGUCGAUCUAAGCAAGGUAAUCGCAGCCGGCGAGUUCAUCUGCAAGCAUCUGGGGCGCCAGUCUGGGUCCAAGGCAGCUACUGCCUUGAGCAAGGUUACCGCGAGCGCCUCAAAGCUAUGA
rnacentral:rRNA from 1 species